AUCCCGGUGCAAUGAGACUAGCCU
rnacentral:piRNA from 1 species